rnacentral:rRNA from 1 species
AGAAUGCCGGUAUGAGUAGCGAAAAGAAAGGUGAGAAUCCUUUCCACCGAAAGCCUAAGGGUUCCUGGGCAACGAUCGUCGACCCAGGGUAAGUCGGGACCUAAUCCGAGGCGAAGACGCAUAGGAGAUGGACAACAGGUUGAAAUUCCUGUACCGACGUCGUCUGUUUGAGCGAUGGAGUGACACAAGAAGGAAAGUUCGCAUGCGAUUGGAAGAGCAUGUCUAAGCAGGUAGGUUGAAUACCAGGCAAAUCCGGUAUUCUAAAAGCCGAGAAGUGAUAGGGAGCCUGUAGAGAUACAGGUGAAGGAACCGGGACUCGAUUGUCAAGAAAAGCUUCUAGUGAGGACGACGCCGCCCGUACCAAAACCGACACAGGUAGGCAAGAAGAGAAUUCUAAGGUGCGCGGGAAAACCCUCGUUAAGGAACUCGGCAAAAUGUAUCCGUAACUUCGGGAAAAGGAUAACCCAGAGUACGUGAAGGAAAGAAACAUCCGGAGCGGGAAUGGGUGGCACAAGAGAGGCCCAAGCGACUGUUUACCACAAACACAGGCGUCUGCUAAAGAGAAAUCUGAUGUAUAGAUGCUGACACCUGCCCGGUGCUGGAAGGUUAAGAGGACGUGUUAGCCGUAAGGCGAAGCAGAGAAUUGAAGCCCCAGUAAACGGCGGCCGUAACUAUAACGGUCCUAAGGUAGCGAAAUUCCUUGUCGGGUAAGUUCCGACCCGCACGAAAGGUGUAACGACUUGCGCACUGUCUCAACGAGGGACCCGGUGAAAUUGAAGUACCUGUGAAGAUGCAGGUUACCCGCGACUGGACAGAAAGACCCCAUGGAGCUUUACUGUAACCUGAGAUUGAAUUUUGGUAGAAGAUGUACAGGAUAGUUGGGAGACGUAGAAGCGCGCACGCCAGUGUACGCAGAGUCGAUGGUGGGAUACCAACCUUGUUUUAUUGAAAUUCUAACGAGAGCCGUAACGAGGCUGCGGACAGUCUCAGGCGGGCAGUUUGACUGGGGCGGUCGCCUCCGAAAGAGCAACGGAGGCGCCCAAAGGUUCCCUCAGCGCGGACGGAAACCGCGCGAAGAGUGUAAAGGCAGAAGGGAGCUUGACUGCGAGACGGACAGGUCGAGCAGGGACGAAAGUCGGGCUUAGUGAUCCGGUGGUAGAGAGUGGAAUUGCCAUCGCUCAACGGAUAAAAGCUACCCUGGGGAUAACAGGCUAAUCUCUCCCAAGAGUCCAUAUCGACGGGGAGGUUUGGCACCUCGAUGUCGGCUCAUCACAUCCUGGGGCUGUAGUAGGUCCCAAGGGUUGGGCUGUUCGCCCAUUAAAGUGGUACGCGAGCUGGGUUCAGAACGUCGUGAGACAGUUCGGUCCCUAUCCAUCGCGGGCGCAAGAAACUUGAAGGGGGCUGCUCCUAGUACGAGAGGACCGGAGUGGACGAACCGCUGGUGUACCAAUUAUCCUGCCAAGGGUACAGUUGGGUAGCUACGUUCGGGACGGAUAAACGCUGAAAGCAUCUAAGCGUGAAACCAGCCUAAAGAUGAGGUUUCUCAUUGCAUAAGCAAGUAAGGCCCCAUGAAGACGACAUGGUUGAUAGGCCGGGAGUGGAAGUGCAGCAAUGCAUGGAGCGGACCGGUACUAAUAGGCCGAGGACUUAUCUUA